CUGCUGCUAGCUGCAGAUACUGGAAUAGUCAAGCGUGCAAGCUAUUGACUGACUGACUGGCUACUGACUGCUAAAAUAAACCUGAGAUUGAUCGACCAUAGAUAGUAGAGGAAGGGAUUGGAAACGAGAUCACGUGCGCUAUACUUCAUACAUUGAGAUCUGAGGUCUAUCCGCGUUAGACCGCGAAUUGACUAAUUUUGAGCGGGUUAAAGAGUUUUACUCGGUUCUAAAGGUAAGAAACGACUAUCUAAGAGCUUUAAUGUCAGUAGUAAUCUAUACUAACAAUAUUUUGAGCGUUUUAAGUAAAAAGAUAUACCUGUUGAGCUACAAGUUAGCUAUGACUAACCAUUUACCGGGUGCAUGGAAAAGAAGGAAACGGAAACGGAAGGCGGAAACGGAAAACGGAAAUAUCUCAGCUGUGUAAAGUUAACGACCAUUACCAUUCUGUGUUUUUUUGACAUGAAUAUGAAUAUGGAUAGUAGAGAGCUGAGUUGUAGGAAGCCUAUCUAAUCUAUCUAGCUUCAAGGAAAGCAUAAGAUAAGGUAGCUUGAGACAAGGGGGUGCUCCAGAGCAUGCUUCCUACGCCCCUGGUCGAUCAGAGUGAAUGAAGUGAACCUGUUUGACUGAUAUGAAAGUUGAGUACAUGGAAAAGCAAUAGGAGGCCAGAAUCUGAGAACUGAAUACAUCCAGCUUUCGCAAGUAACAGAUGACAUCAGGCAAGAUUGUAUGACCCUUGCAAAACAUGGACUGUGCUGCAACAUUGCAUGGCAACUUGAUGGCUGAACCUUACACAAGAUUGUAAUUAUGUUGGAGAGUAAGACCCUGAGAUACAGCUGCAAUGGCUGAACCUAGCCAUCUAAACAGUACUGCAUGGUAGCCUUGUACUUCGGUUUUUACUUCACUUGCUUCAUGUUCACUUUAUUUAUUGAUUUAUAUUCAAUUUAAAACACAGAAUGGUAAUGAGAGUGAAGUGAUGAGAGUGAAGUAACAUGAAAGCAUAAAAGCACUGAAUGAAGCACCCCCUUGACGUUGUCUCAAGCUACCUUACCUAGUUGCUCCUUGAAUGUCAUAGCUAGAUGGAUAGGCUUCCCCACAGCACCCCUUUACAAAUACAUCUUCUGCUAUCAACUUUCACUACUGCAAAAAACACAGAAUGGUGUGAUUGUAAACAAUGGGCAUGGGAAGUCAGUUUUUUUUCAGCGAAAGAAAAGCAAGAAGCAGCAGACAUCCCCCGUCUGUUCUCAUCAGCCUUUACCUGAGUCGACCAGCAACUCUUGAAUCUCUCCACUUCUUGGUUGCCAAGUCCGUGUUGAACUAAUUGCCAUUAAGAACGUGCUCACCAUUGUCAAGCUCGUCACCUUGUGUGUUUAGUGCCAGCUCAUUGUCAGUACGUUCUGAAUAUACCCUUACACUCCCUCUCUCAACUCAUCACUCCAGUUCUUUCAACCUAAGUUACCUUCACCAGCGCAGCGUGCUGUGCUAUUUUGAUUGAGAUCCAUCGAUUCCCUGAACUUUUGUGAUGAAAAUCCUGGCCUUAAAUGAUUUGUGAAAGCAUCACUCUUCUACACUAUAUAUUAUAGGUAAGUUCUGUCAAAAAAUUUUUCACGAACCGUUACCCAAACGCAGUCUGACAACACAUUCUGACUCAUAUCGUUAUAUCGUUCAUAAUGUACAUGGCUUGUCUGCAGUUCAUAAUAAUGUUAUAUAGAUGAUGAGUUGUCAUGGAUAUUUUAUAUUGAAUGAUUUAUAUAAUUGUAGAGCAUGGACACAUUUCCAGAGUAGAAAGAACUUACAAAAAAAAGAAUUUCAAAACUAAAAGCUUGCAUACACACAUAGCUCAGAUUCCUACUUCCUGUAGGAGGGCCCAUACCCAAACACAGAUCUACGGACAGUCCAUGAAAUUGUGUUCACGUGAUCUCGUUUCCAAUCCCCUUCCUCUACUAUCUAUGGACUGACCACUGCUGCUGUUGCUGACUGUGCAUGUGCUGGACUGUGUGGUGCUGCUUGUACAGGUCUGCUGGAAAAGUCAAACUGCAAGAGCACAUUUUUUAAGGGGUACAUUGUCAUCUUCAUUUCAGUUAGGCUUGUUUCAGAUCAACCUCCCUCCUCGGUUUUGCUCACCUCCUCAAUUAAGUCAUCAUUGUUGAUGUCAGCCAUUAUUUGAGAUCAAAGUCCUUUUGUUUGCUGACAUUGCAUUAUUUUACCAUAUGCCAUGUGCAAGUUGCCAAAAAGCCAGAGCGUAAAAAUUGUUUUCUAUUUUUAUGUCAGACUCCGUCAUUUAGGAUAUGACGUCAUCAGUAAUGAAGACCUCCCUCCCUCAUCGGGUACAAGUAUGCAACUAACAGUGGCCUUAUCUUGUGAUAAUAAUUAUUAUUGUUACCGAUUCCGAGGGUGAGUAUAUGUGGUAAAAUGUGGUUCGGAGUUUACUUAAAAAAAAAAAAAAAAAAAAAAAUGGUGGCGCCGACCUCGUGUGCUAUUUGUUCGAAGACUAUUAAGGUCGAAGACUAUUAAGGAGUCUACUUCCAAGUCCAAUGGUGAAGAUGCUGUAUUUUGUGAAGGCUCUUGUCAAAGCUGGAUGCACAGGCAAUGCAUAGGUAUGUCAAUUCCUAUUUUUAGAGCACUUGCUAUUUAUCAAGCUCCAUUCUACUGCAUUUAUUGUUCUCAAGACGAGUUAAAAAACAAAAUAGAAACCCUUGAAGCCCAGCUAGUGUCUCUACAGCCUGUCAACUCCUAUUCUGAGCCUGUUAAACAACAUAGUUAUUCACCUUAGCUGACCGCACAAGUCGCAAAUUCAAUGUGGUAGUGUAUGGUAUAAAGGAAAAACCUCUAAAACACACUCGUCUGAUAUACUGACGAUGUAUCCGAAGUGUUUAAUAAGCUUCAAUCUCUGCUCAAUCUGACUUGGCAAGUACACGAAUAAUAAAUGUCGCCCAGUUUUAGUAAAAUUAUCAAGAUCUUUUGAAGUUUCCUCUCUGCUGUCUCAACGUUAAAGAUACUCCUGGGGUAUCCAUCAAGCCAGACAUGUCACCCGAUGAAGAUUUUGUACGCAUGAGUAACAUCAUUCAGUCUGGAACGAUCUAUGUGAAAAAAGGCUUCGUAGAUCUAGUUGAUUUUAGUUAUAAGGAAAUUGAUACCACGGCACAAGUAACAAACUCAAAUCCAUUGAUAGAGGAUCCGUCAGUGACUGACAAUAGACAGUCCGACUGACUGCAUGGAUCAACGUACAAUUUCACACUUUUUAAUGGACGCAGUAUCGUCAAUAAACUGUCUAAUCUUCAAUCAUUUAUAUAUUCUUUGUAGUCUUUGCUAUUACAGAAACUUGGCUCAGCAAAAACUUAUUUGAUAAUGAAAUACUCCUACAUAGCUAUCGUAUAUAUCGAAAUGAUAGAGGUGGUGGUGUUUACUUGUUGUGCACAACUCAAUUCCUUUUAAAAUAAUAGAUUCUCCAGAAGUAGUUGCUAUCCACUUACUUCACUCUAACUCCAUUGUGUGUAUUGUUUAUUUAUCUCCAUCCAUUAACUUCACUUUAUUUAAUGACACCAUUUCUUUUCUUACUCAUCCACAAAACCUGUUUUUAUUUGUUGAAAAUGCACUUCAUGUGAACAGACUCUACGGUAGAGAUUAUUAUGUUAUGAUGUAAUCAUGUAUUAUGUAAUCAUGUGUGUUCCUUUUGUAAGGUCACCUUUAGACCAUGUGCUUUAUCCUUCUUUUGAUUAUUGUGUGUCGUUAUUUGA